rnacentral:rRNA from 1 species
AACGAACGCUGGCGGCAUGCUUAACACAUGCGAGUCGAACGGCAGGGCCCCCACCUUGGUGGGGGUGCGCGAGUGGCGAACGGGUGAGUAACACGUGGAUGAGCUGCCCUGUACUGCGGGGUAAGCUUGGGGCAGGAGGUCUAAUACCGGCUAGGAACAUGGUUUAGUGGCUCAUGGUGGAGCCAUUAUUUUUUUGGUGGAGGGUGAGCUGGCUGCCUAUCUGUUAGUUGGUGGGGUAAUGGCCGACCAAGGCGGCGACCGGUCGCUGGCCUGAGAGGACGAGCAGACAGCCUGGAUCUGAGUCACGGCCCAGACACCCACGGGAGGCAGCAGGGGGGAAUUUUGAACGCUGGGCGGAAGCCUGCUCCAGCCAGCCCCGGUGCGUGAAGAAGGACUUCGGGUUGUAUAGCACUUUUGUUCGGAAAGAACGACGCCACACUAAUACAGGGUGGGGUUGCCGGUACCGUAAGAAUAAGCACCGGCUAACUACGUG